rnacentral:lncRNA from 1 species
CAUUAGUGACCCUUCAGCAGAUGCAUUCACUUGACUCUGGGUGGUGGCAUUGAGACCAUCAUAAAAUAUGUCAUUUAAAGCUUUGUUUGAAGGAAAUUUGGUUAACUAUUGGAUGAUGUAUUAAGCAUUUGUUACUUACUUCUUGGCAGUGUAUUUCAUGGUUGGAACUUAUAUAUGAAAUCAAAUUGAGAAGUUGGCUACUAAGUUGUUGAGUCUAGUCCUAGUUGAGUGGUUUUGUUUUGUGUUUUGUUUUGCUAGAGGACUAGCAAAAACGUAAGUUUGGGGGUAUUUGAU